UACAGAGGUCCCAAGCGUUGUUCGGAUUCACUGGGCGUAAAGGGUGCGUAGGUGGUGGGGUAAGUUUGAGGUGAAAGCUCCGGGCUCAACCCGGAAAUGGCCUUGAAGACUAUCCUGCUCGAGGGUUGGAGGGGGGACUGGAAUUCUCGGUGUAGCAGUGAAAUGCGUAGAUAUCGAGAGGAACACCAGUGGCGAAAGGCGAGUCCCUGGACAACACCUGACACUGAGGCACGAAAAGCUAGGGGGAGCAAAACGGGGA
rnacentral:rRNA from 1 species